GCAAGUCGAACGAGGCCCCAUAAGUUUACUUUUGGGUGUCCUAGUGGCAGACGGGUGAGUAACGCGUGAACAAUGUGCCUUCUUUCUGGGGAUACCGUUUGGAAACGAACGUUAAUACCGAAUGUGCUCUAACUGCGGCAUCGUAGAUUGAGUAAACUGUUAGGGAGAGAAGAGCAGUUCGCGUUCUAUCAGCUAGAUGGUGGGGUAACGGCCUACCAUGGCGACGACGGAUAGCUGGUCUGAGAGGAUGAUC
rnacentral:rRNA from 1 species